rnacentral:sRNA from 1 species
GGGGACGUACUGGUUUCGACAGGUGUGCCGAUCCUUUGUAAGCGAGCCGCGUUUCUUGAUCUGGGGUACGCGUAAAAGAACUGGAUCAUUAAAUACAAACGCAAAAAAUGAUUUUGCACUAGCUGCUUAAUUGCAGCGUCACGCGAGCGCCUUGUCUCGGCCGCGCACGCCUGACCAACUCCCUGCCGGGGCCGUCACCGUUUACGCGUUUCUAGUGAACGAUUGAUGUAUGAUAGAAAUAGUCUGUCGGCUUGAUUGUCGCUUGUCCGGCCGCAGGCGAAAUUUUUGAAGUGACUACGCUCGUAGAAAGCACCGGAAAGAUGCAUUUGGACGCGGGUUCAAUUCCCGCCGUCUCCACCA